UACGUAGGGGGCAAGCGUUGUCCGGAAUCAUUGGGCGUAAAGCGCGUGUAGGCGGCCAGAAAAGUCCGCUGUGAAAACUCGAGGCUCAACUUCGAGCUGUCGGUGGAAACUUUCUGGCUAGAGUCCGGAAGAGGAGAAUGGAAUUCCUGGUAUAGCGGUGAAAUGCGCAGAUAUCAGGAAGAACACCCGUGGCGAAGGCGGUUCUCUGGGACGGUACUGACGCUGAGACGCGAAAGCGUGGGGAGCAAACAGG
rnacentral:rRNA from 1 species